CAAUACUUCGCCGGCGACCGGCGCACGGGUGAGUAACACGUGUGCAACCAACCCCGUACCGGGAGAUAACCCGCGGAAACGUGGACUAACAUCCCAUGAGACUCUAGAGCCGCAUGGCUUUGGAUUUAAAAUUCCGGUGGUACGGGACGGGCACGCGCGACAUUAGGUAGUUGGCGGGGUAAGGGCCCACCAAGCCGACGAUGUCUAGGGGUUCUGAGAGGAAGGUCCCCCACACUGGAACUGAGACACGGUCCAG
rnacentral:rRNA from 1 species